rnacentral:rRNA from 1 species
GGGGUUCUGAGAGGAAGGUCCCCCACGUUGGAACUGAGCCAGGAUCCAACUCUAUACGGGAGGCAGCAGUGAGGAAUAUUGGUCAAUGGACGAGAGUCUGAACCAGCCAAGUAGCGUGAAGGAUGACUGCCUAUGGGUUGUAAACUUCUUUUAUACGGGAAUAAGUGAGGCACGUGUGCCUUUUUGUAUGUACCGUAUGAAUAAGGAUCGGCUAACUCCGUGCCAGCAGCCGCGGUAAUACGGAGGAUCCGAGCGUUAUCCGGAUUUAUUGGGUUUAAAGGGAGCGUAGGCGGACGCUUAAGUCAGUUGUGAAAGUUUGCGGCUCAACCGUAAAAUUGCAGUUGAUACUGGGUGUCUUGAGUACAGUAGAGGCAGGCGGAAUUCGUGGUGUAGCGGUGAAAUGCUUAGAUAUCACGAAGAACUCCGAUUGCGAAGGCAGCCUGCUGGACUGUAACUGACGCUGAUGCUCGAAAGUGUGGGUAUCAAACAGGAUUAGAUACCCUGGUAGUCCACACAGUAAACGAUGAAUACUCGCUUUUGCG